rnacentral:lncRNA from 1 species
ACUCAGCUAACUCUCAAGGCUCUUGAACAGGCUCCCCAUCAACAAUGAAAGUGAAGAUUAGAACCUACUGGUUAUACCAUAUAUGCGUGGAAGGGACCAGGCCUCUUCAACUGGCUGAGGUUGGCAAAGGAAGAAAGCUGACUGGAGAAUCACUAAGCACUCUGCAGAUCUCCUCCACAGCUCAGACUUUCCCCGAUACCCUCUGGGAACCUGGCGAGGGAACCACUCUGCUUAUAGAUGUUUAAGUCAUUCUUGUGGAUGUGCCCAGAGUCCACAAAGAGAUUGGCGGCAUCUGACACAAGCAACAGCAAAGUUAACUCAGAGGUCAUUGUGUCUGCUGCCUCUGGCAGGAAUUUCUUAGGGCUUUUCUGGUGAUAUGACACCCCAGGUUAUGAGCGUCUUCGUAUCAAUGGUCACUUGUGACGAAGUACUAUCCUCUGGCUCCAGCCAUCAUCCAUCUCUGAGUAAUUCUCACCUACAGCUGAGGGGUCUGUCCUCUGGAACUACAGUGAUGUAGGUGCCUCUGCUCAGAGCCACCAGUGAUGACAGCUUUAUCCAAGAUGAAAUCCUCCACACUUGAGAGGUACGAUAGUGUGUAUUGCAUUAGGCAUCAGAAAGACUUAGCUUUAAACCUUACCUCAACAACUUAUUCACUCUGUGAUUGAGAAACUCAGCCUCUCUGAGCCACAGUAUAGCCAUCCAUAAAAUGAGUACACUUUUUUGGCAUUGUGAGGCUGUAACACAUAGAAAAACCAUUGCCAAUCAUAGGCACUCAAAACUAACUCAUGCUCUCUUCACAUGUCAAGAUUCAUUUAUUUUUCCCAACAUUUAUUUAGUGCUUAUUCUUUUACUUAUUUUUGCCAAGUACUUUGUUUGGUGCUGAGGACUGACUAGAGAGUGAAAUGUGGUGUCAUGAAUACCCCACCCACAUUCUCACCCAAGCUCACCACUGACUAGCCCGUCUGAGAUAGCAGGCUGACUUUGGAUCCCAGGAUCUUACUUCUUCUAGCCUUGUGCCUUCCUGAGUCUUUCUAAGCCCAUCAUCAACCUACCUCUGUACUUGGAUGUUGAGAGACAGUGUGGGGUGAGGUUUAUGGGGUUAUUAUCCCAGUUCCUUCCUGGUGCAGCUUGAGCAUGCUGCAAGAAGCCACCACACUUCAGUGGGCAGGGAUAUGGAAUACAACAUGAACCUCAUAAGGAGCAUAAGGUGGGGCAUUUUACCUUGGGAAUUUAAAGUGAUCUUACUUCAUUUUAUAGUUCUAACUGCUAGACUCUGGAUGGCUUCCUCCGUUCACCUUCUACCCAGAGAAGUAGACUUGGUAUGUAGAGGGACAAAGUCCUGUCCCUUUAUCUGGGCCGUGGAUACUUAAUGAAACAGUACUAGUCAGAAAUUCUUACAUGCAGCCAAAGAAAGUCUAGUCCUGUCUCUGGCUCUAAGGAAGCUUCAUUAGAUCCAUGAUGGCUAGUAGCUGAUGGUUUUGAUUGUGUAGGCACUCAGCCUGCAUUUGGGAGAUUCAGAGUGUGUCUUACCUUCCUUGAGAGUUAAGAAGGGCAGUGAUGGAACUCAGGGCUGGUGCACCUUCUGCCCUCAGCAUAAGUCUAAGGCAGUCACACAGUCUGGAGGGGGUGAAGGAAGCUGUUGGCAGGAGAUGGCUCAUGAGGCACAAGGGCACCUUGAAAACUCCAGGGCUCUGAGCCCACUUCCUGGUGGCCAUGCCUGCAUCAGGAACUGCUCAGAACGGACUCUGAAAGCCGUGCUCUCUGAUGGACCAAAAGGCAACAGUUGACAGAGUUGUCCAAAAUGGAUCCUCAUCUUUCUCUUUGAGCAACUGGACCUUGAGAGAAGCAGGUGGAAGGAAACAGUCUUGUUUGGUGCCACUCUCAAUCACCACACAAAUUCUUACCCCAAUUCCUGCUCUGGAUCAUAUAGAACGACAAGGCUGUGCUUUGUGGCAGGGCUAAGUCCCAGGGCACUGGGAAAACUAUAGAUUCUGAUGCAGGGAUGGGGGAGGGGCCUGAGAUGCAGUUGUCUUAUGAGAUACUAAGUGAUGUUGAAGCAGUCUCUGAACUCUCAGCCCAUGAGACACAGACACACAAGAAAAACAUCUUUUGGGAUUUUCUAACACACAUGACAGACUUUAAGGCGGGAGAGCCAGAUCCAAGGACACAUGUGUGAAGAAACUGGCAAAUACUGAGGAGUUUUAUGCCCUUGCAUGGGGUGGAACUGUUAAGCCAAAAAUUUGCUAGGCAGAAAGGGAGGGCUGGUACCCUCCAAUAAUCCCCUUCAUGAGGCAUGGUGCAGAAUUGCAUUGGUGAUGCUUCUGCAUACAGCAGUCCUCAGGAGUAGCUAUGUCCUGAAAAAAAAAAAAAAGGAGUGAUCAAGAAAAAAGAAAAUAAAGAUCUGUGUCUGCUAUAAUUUUGAGGAAGAAGACUCCGUGAGGUCUCAGGCCAGUAGCAUCCAUGGCUAUCACCUAUGAAGGAACACUAAGAUAAGCAUGGCCUUAAAACUCCCAAGAUGGUCAGUUAAAAAAAUAACAAGUGCGUAUCUGGCUAUCAGUAUGUCCUGAUGUCUGGCAGAAGCAGUUUCCAUCCUCUGGGUAGGAAUGUGCCUUCAAGCUAGCUCAAUAGAACCCCCAACCCUAGAGUCUCACAAUGAAAAGCACACAAAGACACAUCACCCUCAGCCAGCUAGGACAGAAAUAGCACACCAUUGUGAUGGGGAGAUAGGUUGGUGGGAUAAGAUACCCCCACUAUGUUCAUAGCAGCCAUAUGUAUAAUAGCCAGAACCUGCAAACAACCCAGAAGUCCCUCAAGAGAGGAAUGGAUACAGAAAAUGUGAUUCAUUUACACAGUGGAAUACUAUUCAGCUAUUAAAAAUGAGGACAUCAUGAAUUUUGCAUGCAAACGGAUGGAACUAGAAAAUAUCAUCCUGAGUGAAGUAACUCAGACCCAAAGGACAUGUAUGGUAUGUACUUACGGAUAAGUGGAUAUUAGCCAAAAUGUACAGAAAACCUAGUAUACAACCCACGGACCGUAAGAAGUGUAACAUGCAGAAAGGCCCAAGUGAGGCUGCUUCAAUCCCACAUGGAAGGGGGAA